UGGCAAAUAUUGAAAACGGGAGCAAGUGAGAUCGAGUGUCGGAGGAAGUCCUUAGAGAGCUUAAGGGUUGUCAGGCGGAAGAAAGAAGGAUUAGGAACGAAGGUAUUUCCCGGAUGAAUUUAGGGUAAAUUUGGUCCCGCCAGCGGGGUUACGAGUAGGAGGCCAAGGUUUUCUGGGUAUCAUGGGGGUAAAAGGGGGGUAAGGGGGAAGGUAAAUAGUUUUGGAAAAUUCCUGGGUCAACCGGAAGAAGCCCUUCUAUAAUGCAGUUUUAGAGGCAGGUGAGGGUGCGCGAAUUUCAGGGGUAGCGGGGGAAAGGGCAGAUAUCAAGAGGACACCAGGGGGAGAGGCGGCCUCCUGGACCAUUCCUGACGUCAGACGCGAAAGCUAGGGUAGCAAACGGGAUUAGAGACCCCGGUAGUCCAAGCCGUAAACGAUGUAGACUAGACGUCGGCGGUUUAAAAAC
rnacentral:rRNA from 1 species